rnacentral:lncRNA from 1 species
AGGGGCGGUGGCGGAGUGGCAGUGGCGCGCGGCUCUGCUGCGUUGCCUCUGUCUCGCCAAGAACGCAGGCACAAGGAAAGAAAAAAGAAAGAAAGAAAGAAAAAGGAAGAAAGGAAAGAAGAAGAAGAAGAGGGAGAGGGAGUGGCGGCAGUGGCGCUGUGGUGGCAGUGGCGAUGGAGUGGAGGUGAGCUGGUGAGGG